GACGAACGCUGGCGGCGUGCCUAAUACAUGCAAGUUGAGCGCUGAAGGCUGGUACUUGUACCAACUGGAUGAGCAGCGAACGGGUGAGUAACGCGUGGGGCAUCUGCCUUUGAGCGGGGGACAACAUUUGGAAACGAAUGCUAAUACCGCAUAAAAACUUUAAACACAAGUUUUAAGUUUGAAAGAUGCAAUUGCAUCACUCAAAGAUGAUCCCGCGUUGUAUUAGCUAGUUGGUGAGGUAAAGGCUCACCAAGGCGAGGAUACAUAGCCGACCUGAGAGGGUGAUCGGCCACAUUGGGACUGAGACACGGCCCAAACUCCUACGGGUGGCAGCAGUAGGGAAUCUUCGGCAAUGGACGAAAGUCUGACCGAGCAACGCCGCGUGAGUGAAGAAGGUUUUCGGAUCGUAAAACACUGUUGGUAGAGAAGAACGUGGGUGAGAGUGGAAAGCUCAUCAAGUGACGGUAACUACCCAGAAAGGGACGGCUAACUACGUG
rnacentral:rRNA from 1 species